GGACAAUUUCCGUUCUAGGAGGGGGUGACAGCUGCAGAGCGGGCUAUCUCACCGCCACCCCCCCACCCCCUCAAGCUCCAGCUUGACUCUCAUCUAGAAAAACUGCUAAAUCAACACUACGCAGUUACUGCCCGCCAGGCACCCUGCGGGCAGUGGGGGCGAAGAGCCGGAGGGGAAAUGCAGAAGUGGCCGCCACCUCUUCCAAGAGGAGGGAGUUGCUCACCCACGCGUGGUCGAGAGCGCCCAGAGCAGUUACCAUCGCCCUCCAAACACAGGGCUGAGAGUGGGGUCUGAUGGGGACAGUGCGCGCCAGAGAUCUCCAAGCAGCUGCCCCCGCAGGCGGAGCGCCCGCCCAGCACCGAGAGUGAUCUGCGACCGACCAUACUGCGGCUUGGGGAGGCUUGGGUACAGCAGCGGCCACCGAGCGAUCACCGCGCUAAGUCUCACAGGCUCCGGUGCUCCGAGGCUCAGGUUGCGGGCGCCCCCCGCCCCUCCCAAACACCGGCCCCUCCUUCCCCGUCCCUGGCUCUCCGCACCUGAACUUCGGGGGAACCCGCGCCGCCAAACUUUCCACCGACUUGCAGCGAACUCCGGCCCCGGCCGCGCACCGAGCCCCGGGGGAGGAGGGAGGUAGGCGGGGAAGGGGAGGGGGCCGGCCUCCGGGGGGGUCGGGGGAGGGCCAUGGCCCGACACCUACCGGCUCUCCGAGUCGUCCAAGCAGCCACCGCCGCCGUCGCCGCGAGGCCGAGGGGGAGGGGCGGGGCGGGGAGUUGCGCCCCGCUCUGGGCACCUCCGCCGCGGUGCGCUCCGCUCCAGCCUCCCGCCGAGCCCGGGUCCGGAGCCGGAGUCGCGCCGCCGCGGCUGGCCCGAGGCGGGGAGGGGGGGGAGCCUGCAGCACCUGCCCCUCCUCCCCCUCCCCGCGGCCCAAAUUAAAAAACAACAAAAAGCAACUAAUCACCCCCGAGCGGAGCGCGGCGCGGCGGGUGGAGGGCUGAGAGUGCGGCGCCCGGACUCAGCAGGCGGCGCGCAUGGUUGGGCGCGGGAUGGGCAGGGCUGGGACGCGGGGCCCGGCUUAGGGGGGCGAGGCUCGGCUGCUCUUCUCGCUCGGCUCGGACGCCUGCUCUCGCCGCCACCGCCGCCUCUGCUGCCGCCAGUGCCGCCGCCUCUACAGCCCAGCUCAGGCUCCGCCGCCUCUGCCGCCGCCGCCGCGCGCCCGCCCGGGCAGGAGCUCUGAACGCUGCCCGGGUGCUGCCAGCAAAACCCGGACCGGACUCACCGCUCCCUCCUCCUUCCCCCUCCCCCUUCCCCCUCCCCCCUCACCUCGGCUCCCCUCCCUCCUCCCGCCGCCUCCCUCCCAGCGUAGCUCUGGCCACUUGGACGCCGCAAGCUCUGAGGCCAGAGCCGCAGCCGCUGAGCCCAGCUCCCCACGCCCUGACGAGCUCGGCCCAGGCUCAGCUCCCCCGCGCGCCCUAUCUUCACCUUUUUCCCCGCAACUUUACAAAAAAAGGGGGGGAACCUCCCUCCUUUUGUGAGGAGCGCCUGGGCUUGGAGAUGCACCUUCCGGGAAAUCCGCCCUCUCUCUGACCCCUCUUCAGCGGGGCAAGAAACUACGAGGACCGGGAGGGAGGGUUUGGCCGCGACCCCAACUCAGCUGCGCGUCUCCGGAACUAGACGCUUGUUCAAAGACCCCACCCUUCCCAGAGCACCUGUCUGGACUCAUUGGGCACUAGUUCCCCGGGAGAAAACGGCGGAGGUUCCUAUCCCCAUUUCACAGAUGAGGAAACUGACCCGAGGAAGGACAUUUUGUCUCCUACGCAGGCACCAGCCGAAGCUCUGAGUCCUAGGGCUAAGACGACUACAGUGUGGUGCCCUGAGACCGUGGCAUACGAACUCAGGCCUGAAACGGUGCCUGGAACAGAGCAGCGCUCAACAGAUCUGGUUGAAAGAGAGAAGGAAAACUCAGGCCUGCCCGAGCAGGCCCCUAAGCCCUCAUAUCCUCACCCUCACGCCAUCAGUGCCUCCUCCAUUCGCCCAGCGUGGGCUAAUUCUAAGGCUGCAGAUGUCUUCUCGCCACUUCAGGGACCCACAGACCGAGCCCCUUGGCUCAUAUAUUCCCAAACUGCAUAUAAUCCCAAAGUGGAAGUUUUCUCCAAUUCUCUGGAAUUCGUGGGGAGGGUUUGUGCAGCAAGGUAGACCUUCUGCGAGGCAGAGAAAACCGCAGCCCCCAGAUCCUAGCGGAGGAGGCAGGAGGGGCAGGGCAGUUGGGGAAGUCUGCCUAAGGUUAAACGUUACAGCCUCAGAUCGAUUGGGGCCCAGAUAAGAGGGAGUUAACUGUGGCGACCGGGGCGCCUCCAGCCUCCAGCCACAGGCGCGUCCUCUGUGGGAGAAGUGAAACUGUCUCCCACCUCUCCGCUUCCUUUCCUCUCCUCUGUGUGGCCUGGCUGUCUCCAAGGCUCGCGCGAGAACCGUGGGGGCUUGGGUCUCCCAAGACCAGUGGCCCGUGCCCACCCUCCAAACCUUCUAUGUGUGGCCUCAGAACCUUGACCCAGCCACAGGGUGAGGUGGUAGGGGAGGUGUCAAAGGGCAGAGCUCAUCUGGAAUGUGUUGUCUCUCUCCCACUCCUGAUAUCCCAGGCCACACAGAAUGACUCCUUUCUAGACAUGUGGACACCCCCUCCCAGCCAGUUCCUUUCUUGCAUAAAUACUAAGUGUCCUCCUUUACCUACUGUGCCAAGGAAUGGCUGGCCCAGGUUAGACGGUGGAUCUUGGAGUCUUGUCCUUCUGAAAAUUAAGAACUGAUGGGAGACACAGACCUUCUUCUAUCUGACCCAGGUGGGAACCAGAGAGGAAGGGGAGAGAAUUGUCCACAUGGAAAAUGCAACAUGAAUAGGAAAUGUCAUAUACAAGCCAUCCACAUAGAACUCUCCACCAUAGAUGACAAGUGAGACAAGUGAGGGACAUCCAGGAAGGAUGGAGUGGGGGUCUCUGCCCUUGGGGGAGACCAUCCGCACCCCAGCCACCUUCCCCAAGAAGAAGGGAAGCCACCCUCGUUCACUAUUUCUUCUCCUUUCUCUUCCUCCAAAAAGGAAUAUUUAAGUCUCACAUUGUUAUUAAACUUUCUGCUGAAUUCUUUCAACCAAUAAAUCAGCCUUCAACUCA